AUGCCCUGCUGUCCUUCAAGCACGGCAUCACCAGCGACCCCUUGGGCGUCCUUGGCUCUUGGCACAAGGAAGACUGCUGUCGCUGGAGGGGCGUCAAGUGCAGCAACCGGACCGGCCAUGUCCUUAGGCUUCAUCUUCGUAAUCUGCAUGCAGACACGUACACUUCCGAUGAGGAGAUCAUGGGUGUGUACACCAGAGACACAGCUUUGGUUGGCCAGAUAA
rnacentral:rRNA from 1 species